rnacentral:rRNA from 1 species
CAAGUCAUGGGGGCCCAGCAAUGGGCAACUGGCGAACGGGUGCGUAACACGUGAGCAACCUACCGAUUUGUGGGGGAUAGCUGGCCUAACGGCCAGGUAAUACCGCAUACGCUUUUUUGGUCACCUGACCGGGAAAGGAAAUCUUCGGAGCAGAUCGAGGGGCUCGCGGCCUAUCAGCUAGUUGGCGAGGUCACGGCUCACCAAGGCGACGACGGGUAGCUGGUCUGAGAGGAUGGCCAGCCACAUUGGGACUGAGAAACGGCCCAGACUCCUACGGGAGGCAGCAGUGGGGAAUCUUGCGCAAUGGACGAAAGUCUGACGCAGCGACGCCGCGUGGGGGAUGAAGGCUUUCGGGUUGUAAACCCCUGUUGCCCGGGACGAACUUCUCCUUUCGAGGAGAUUGACGGUACCGGGUGAGGAAGCACCGGCUAACUCUGUGCCAGCAGCCGCGGUAAUACAGAGGGUGCGAGCGUUGUCCGGAAUCACUGGGCGUAAAGGGCGCGUAGGUGGCCCGACCAGUCACUGGUGAAAGCUCGACGCUCAACGUCGAGUCGGCCAGUGAUACUGUUGGGCUGGAGCACUGUAGAGGCAGAUGGAAUUCCGGGUGUAGCGGUGGAAUGCGUAGAGAUCCGGAAGAACACCGGUGGCGAAGGCGGUCUGCUGGGCAGUAGCUGACACUGAGGCGCGACAGCGUGGGGAGCAAACAGGAUUAGAUACCCUGGUAGUCCACGCCGUAAACGAUGGGCACUAGAUGCUUGGGGGAGCGACCCCCUGAGUGUCGACGCUAACGCAUUAAGUGCCCCGCCUGGGGA